rnacentral:rRNA from 1 species
AGAGUUUGAUCAUGGCUCAGGACGAACGCUGGCGGCGUGCCUAAUACAUGCAAGUCGAGCGAGCUUGCCUAGAUGAUUUUGGUGCUUGCACUAAAUGAAACUAGAUACAAGCGAGCGGCGGACGGGUGAGUAACACGUGGGUAACCUGCCCAAGAGACUGGGAUAACACCUGGAAACAGAUGCUAAUACCGGAUAACAACACUAGACGCAUGUCUAGAGUUUGAAAGAUGGUUCUGCUAUCACUCUUGGAUGGACCUGCGGUGCAUUAGCUAGUUGGUAAGGUAACGGCUUACCAAGGCAAUGAUGCAUAGCCGAGUUGAGAGACUGAUCGGCCACAUUGGGACUGAGACACGGCCCAAACUCCUACGGGAGGCAGCAGUAGGGAAUCUUCCACAAUGGACGAAAGUCUGAUGGAGCAACGCCGCGUGAGUGAAGAAGGGUUUCGGCUCGUAAAGCUCUGUUGGUAGUGAAGAAAGAUAGAGGUAGUAACUGGCCUUUAUUUGACGGUAAUUACUUAGAAAGUCACGGCUAACUACGUGCCAGCAGCCGCGGUAAUACGUAGGUGGCAAGCGUUGUCCGGAUUUAUUGGGCGUAAAGCGAGUGCAGGCGGUUCAAUAAGUCUGAUGUGAAAGCCUUCGGCUCAACCGGAGAAUUGCAUCAGAAACUGUUGAACUUGAGUGCAGAAGAGGAGAGUGGAACUCCAUGUGUAGCGGUGGAAUGCGUAGAUAUAUGGAAGAACACCAGUGGCGAAGGCGGCUCUCUGGUCUGCAACUGACGCUGAGGCUCGAAAGCAUGGGUAGCGAACAGGAUUAGAUACCCUGGUAGUCCAUGCCGUAAACGAUGAGUGCUAAGUGUUGGGAGGUUUCCGCCUCUCAGUGCUGCAGCU